AACACUUGGGACUAUUAUAUCAAAUACCGGAAGAAAAGAGGCUAAAAGAAACUGACGCAAAUAAAUAUAAAUAAAGGGCUCCUUUGCAAAAUACAAUUUGCACUCUACCCUAUUUUGAAAACACUUUUGCUAAAUACCCCAUGUUUUAAAUGAAAGGGGUGUAAAGUUACGUAUAUACUCUUUUUUCAAUCAACAUAAAAAAAAAUUAAUAAAACUUAAAAAAAGGAAAAAAAAAAAGAUUAAAAAAAAAACCAGUGAUCCAUAAUCAUCUUCUUCUAAAUCGACCCCUUCCCCAUUCAUGCACCCACACCAAUUCAGGACGACCACCACCACCGACGACCAUCGUGGAUCACUGCCCACUGUUGAUCAUCGGCCACCAUAUCCAGUCAAAGAUUACAAACUUCAAAGAUUGGGAGUAAGAAAAUGGUAAAAAUAAAAAGGAUUCCAAGCUCAACCCAAGCCCAAUCCGGCCCAGCAUCCCUUUCACUACCAUCUACCACGUGUCUGCAUUUGAUUCGUCAAGCCGAGCUGCCUGGAGCUGAGCCGAGUUGCUUGAGCUGCCUGACGCAUGCCUGCCGAAGUCCUACCUGCUUGACACGCGUCCCACCAGUGCCUGACGAAGCCGAGCCGAGCCACCAGCUGCCACGCUGUCCUGCCGAGCCAACCAAAAGGCGCCACAUCGCCUUGUUGUCUCCCACUCCACCAACAUCAUUUUUCUGAUAGCCAAUUAACGCAUGCCACAUGUCCCACUUUGCUCCAAUUUUGCAGCCAUUUCCCCCACUAUUUUGUACACGAUUUUACACAUUUUUUGCCAUAUUUUCUCUAUAAAUAGAUAACCAAAACCAGUGUAAAUGAUCAGAUUGGGAGUGGAAAAAGACACUUUGUAUUUUGUUUCUUUUCUUAUUUCUAGUUUAAUUUUGCUUGUUUUAGGUGACAAAAAUGAGUGAAUUAUUUUAGAAAUAUUGGUGAGGUUAGAGUGUAGUUGUUGUACUUUUCAUUCUCAAUAUUGAUAUUGAUUCUUCUUCAGCUUCAUUUCCAUAUCUCAUUAAUUAUUUUGUUUCUCAUAUUCUAAUUUCUUUUCUAAAAUUAU